UACGAGGGGUGCAAGCGUUGCUCGGAAUUAUUGGGCGUAAAGGGUAGGUAGGUGGUCUCAUUUGUCUGGGUGAAAGCCUUGAGCUUAACUCAAGAAGUGCCCCGGAAACGGUGAGACUGGAGUCUCGGAGAGGGUCGUGGAAUUCCCGGUGUAGCGGUGAAAUGCGUAGAGAUCGGGAGGAACACCAGUGGCGAAGGCGAUCAUCUGGGGUUGUUCUGACGCUGAGGAGCGAAAGCUAGGGGGGCAAACGGG
rnacentral:rRNA from 1 species